CCGGCGACCGGCGCACGGGUGAGUAACGCGUAUGCAACCUGCCCGUUUCAGCGGGAUAACCCGGAGAAAUCCGGCCUAAUACCGCAUGUGGCCGAGGGGAGGCAUCUUCUUUCGGCCAAAGGAGGCGACUCCGGAGACGGAUGGGCAUGCGUGACAUUAGCUAGUUGGCGGGGUAACGGCCCGCCAAGGCGACGAUGUCUAGGGGUUCUGAGAGGAAGGUCCCCCACACUGGUACUGAGACACGGACCAGACUCCUACGGGAGGCAGCAG
rnacentral:rRNA from 1 species